rnacentral:rRNA from 1 species
CCUACGGGUGGCAGCAGUGGGGAAUAUUGGACAAUGGGGCAACCCUGAUCCAGCCAUGCCGCGUGUGUGAAGAAGGCCCUCGGGUUGUAAAGCACUUUCAGUGAGGAAGAACGCCUGGUGGUUAAUACCCAUCAGGAAAGACAUCACUCACAGAAGAAGCACCGGCUAACUCCGUGCCAGCAGCCGCGGUAAUACGGAGGGUGCGAGCGUUAAUCGGAAUUACUGGGCGUAAAGCGCGCGUAGGUGGCUUGAUAAGCCGGUUGUGAAAGCCCCGGGCUCAACCUGGGAACGGCAUCCGGAACUGUCAAGCUAGAGUGCAGGAGAGGAAGGUAGAAUUCCCGGUGUAGCGGUGAAAUGCGUAGAGAUCGGGAGGAAUACCAGUGGCGAAGGCGGCCUUCUGGACUGACACUGACACUGAGGUGCGAAAGCGUGGGUAGCAAACAGGAUUAGAUACCCCAGUAGUC